GGGUAUGAUUCUUAAUCACAUUGAAUGCAUUGGUUCUUGUCCGAUCACCAAAGUUAAGCAACAUUGAGCCUAGUUAAUACUGAGAUGGGUAACCACUUGGAAAACCUAGGUGCUGUAAGCC
rnacentral:rRNA from 1 species